rnacentral:rRNA from 1 species
GUUGAACGCUGGCGGCGUGCCUAAUACAUGCAAGUCGAGCGAACGGACGAGAAGCUUGCUUUCCUGAUGUUAGCGGCGGACGGGUGAGUAACACGUGGAUAACCUACCUAUAAGACUGGGAUAACUACGGGAAACCGGAGCUCAUAUCGGUUGAUAUUUAGAACCGCAUGGAUCAAAAGUGAAAGACGGUCUAGCUGUCCCUAAUCGAUGGAUCCGCGCUGCAUUAGCUAGUUGGUAAGGUAACGGCUUACCAAGGCAACGAUGCAUAGCCGAUCUGACAGGAUGAGCUGCCACACUGGAACUGAGACACGGUCAUGACUCCUACGGGAGGCAGGAGUAGGGAAUCUUCCGCAAUGGGCGAAAGCCUGACACAGCCAGGCCGCGUGGGUGAGGAAGGUCUUCGGAUCGUAAAACCCUGUAAUUAGGGAGGAAGAUAUGUAAAUGAAUCGGUGCACAUUUUGACGGUACCAAAAGAAAAAGCCACGGCUAACUACGUG